rnacentral:rRNA from 1 species
GAUAACCUACGGGGCGCAGCAGUAGGGAAUCUUCCACAAUGGACGAAAGUCUGAUGGAGCAACGCCGCGUGAGUGAAGAAGGGUUUCGGCUCGUAAAGCUCUGUUGGUAGGGAAGAAAGAUAGAGGUAGUAACUGGCCUUUAUUUGACGGUAAUUACUUAGAAAGUCACGGCUAACUACGUGCCCGCAGCCGCGGUAAUACGUAGGGGGGAAGCGUUUUCCGGAUUUAUUUGGGGUAAAGCGAGUGCAGGCGGGUCA